UACGUAGGUGGCGAGCGUUAUCCGGAUUUAUUGGGCGUAAAGGGAGUGUAGGCGGUUUGUUAAGUAUAAAAUUAAAGCCCGAAGCUUAACUUCGGUUCGUUUUAUAAACUGGCAGACUUGAGUACAGUAGAGGCAAACGGAAUUCCUAGUGUAGUGGUAAAAUGCGUAGAUAUUAGGAGGAACACCAGUGGCGAAGGCGGUUUGCUGGGCUGUUACUGACGCUGAGGCUCGAAAGCGUGGGGAGCAAAUA
rnacentral:rRNA from 1 species